UUACGGCCAUAUCACGUUGAAACACAGUUCCGUACGAUCACCUGAAGUUAAGCAACAUUGACCCUGGAAAGCAUCUAGAUGGGUGACCGCUUGGGAAUACCAGGUGCCGUAAG